rnacentral:rRNA from 1 species
AACGAACGCUGGCGGCGUGCCUAACACAUGCAAGUCGAACGGAAUUUGAGAGCUUGCUCUUAAAUUUAGUGGCGCACGGGUGAGUAACGCGUAGAUAAUCUGCCUGAUGAUCUGGGAUAACAGUUCGAAAGGACUGCUAAUACCGGAUAAGCCCACGGGUUCUUUGGAAUCUGCGGGAAAGGGGGGGACCUUUUGGCCUUCUGUCAUCAGAUGAGUCUGCGUACCAUUAGCUAGUUGGUAGGGUAAAGGCCUACCAAGGCUACGCUGGUUAGCUGGUCGGAGAGGAUGAUCAGACACACUGGAACUGAGACACGGUCCAGACUCGUACGGGAGGAAGCAGUGGGGAAUUUUGGGCAAUGGGCGAAAGCCUGACGCAGCAACGCCGCGUGAGUGAUGAAGGCUUUCGGGUCGUAAAGCUCUGUCAGGGGGAAAGAAAUGUAUUGUGGCUAAUAUCCGCGAUACUUGACGGUACCCCCAAAGGAAGCACCGGCUAACUCCGUGCCAGCAGCCGCAGUAA